rnacentral:rRNA from 1 species
AGAGUUUGAUCAUGGCUCAGAUUGAACGCUAGCGGGAUGCCUUACACAUGCAAGUCGAACGGCAGCACGGACUUCGGUCUGGUGGCGAGUGGCGAACGGGUGAGUAAUGUAUCGGAACGUGCCCAGUAGCGGGGGAUAACUACGCGAAAGCGUAGCUAAUACCGCAUACGCCCUACGGGGGAAAGCAGGGGAUCGCAAGWCCUUGCACUAUUGGAGCGGCCGAUAUCGGAUUAGCUAGUUGGUGGGGUAACGGCUCACCAAGGCGACGAUCCGUAGCUGGUUUGAGAGGACGWCCAGCCACACUGGGACUGAGACACGGCCCAGAYUCCUACGGGAGGCAGCAGUGGGGAWUUUUGGACAAUGGGGGAAAYCCUGAUCCAGCCAUCCCGCGUGUGCGAUGAAGGCCUUCGGGUUGUAAAGCACUUUUGGCAGGAAAGAAACGUCGCGGGUUAAUACCUCGCGAAACUGACGGUACCUGCAGAAUAAGCACCGGCUAACUACGUGCCAGCAGCCGCGGUAAUACGUAGGGUGCAAGCGUUAAUCGGAAUUACUGGGCGUAAAGCGUGCSCAGGCGGUUCGGAAAGAAAGAUGUGAAAUCCCAGAGCUUAACUUUGGAACUGCAUUUUUAACUACCGGGCUAGAGUGUGUCAGAGGGAGGUGGAAUUCCGCGUGUAGCAGUGAAAUGCGUAGAUAUGCGGAGGAACACCGAUGGCGAAGGCAGCCUCCUGGGAUAACACUGACGCUCAUGCACGAAAGCGUGGGGAGCAAACAGGAUUAGAUMCCCUGGUAGUCCACGCCCUAAAMRAUGUCAAMUAGCUGUUGGGGCCUUCGGSCCUUGGUAGCGCAGCUAACGCGUGAAGUUGWCCCSGCC